CAAAGCGAUACACUAGGCCCAAGGCAGGGCCCUCCAGCGACUGUUAGCAGCAAGGAGGGCUGUGGACCUCAGUGUCAGGAAGCGUCGGAGCUGUUGCUAUGGUGACUUUGAAUGCUGGCUGACCUUGAAGAUGGUGAAUAAUCCCAAAACUCGGUUUCCAGGGUUUAUUCGGUCAAGGAAGAACCAAGAACAGUGAAGGGCAGCUGUGAAGUAAAUUGCCGUAGACUUUAGAACAAUCACAUUGGAGAAAUUAACUGACUCUGAACAAUGUAAAUUCCAUCAACACUAAUUGAUGCCCAUGGACCAGGGCUUGGAGUGAAGCCUGCAGGGAGGUCAGAGGCCAGCACGGAGGGCCCACCCUGGAGAAGUUCAUGGCCAA